GCUUAUUUUAUUCUGUGAAUGUUGUUGUAGCUAGGUUUUUCAGUUUUAGUGGCAUAUUUUUAUGGUGAAGCAAUAAAAGAUGUUGCCCUCGCUAUCCGGUGCUUCUUGUUAUGUUGCACUUGGAUGUUGGGUAACUACAUUU